AGUGAACGUUGGCGGUAGGCCUAACACAUGCAAGUCGAACGGCAGCACAGUAAGAGCUUGCUCUUACGGGUGGCGAGUGGCGGACGGGUGAGGAAUACAUCGGAAUCUACUUUUUCGUGGGGGAUAACGUAGGGAAACUUACGCUAAUACCGCAUACGACCUACGGGUGAAAGCAGGGGAUCUUCGGACCUUGCGCGAUUGAAUGAGCCGAUGUCGGAUUAGCUAGUUGGCGGGGUAAAGGCCCACCAAGGCGACGAUCCGUAGCUGGUCUGAGAGGAUGAUCAGCCACACUGGAACUGAGACACGGUCCAGACUCCUACGGGAGGCAGCAGUGGGGAAUAUUGGACAAUAGGCGCAAGCCUGAUCCAGCCAUACCGCGUGGGUGAAGAAGGCCUUCGGGUUGUAAAGCCCUUUUGUUGGGAAAGAAAAGCAGCAGGUUAAUACCCCGCUGUUCUGACGGUACCCAAAGAAUAAGCACCGGCUAACUUCGUG
rnacentral:rRNA from 1 species